AGGUUGAACGCUGGCGGCAGGCCUAACACAUGCAAGCCGAGCGGUAGAGAGGUGCUUGCAUCUCUUGAGAGCGGCGGACGGGUGAGUAAUGCCUAGGAAUCUGCCUAGUGGGUGGGGGAUAACGGUUCGGAAACGGACGCUAAUACCGCAUACGUCCUACGGGAGAAAGCGGGGGACCUUCGGGCCUCGCGCCAUUAGAUGAGCCUAGGUCGGAUUAGCUAGUUGUGAGGUAAUGGCUCACCAAGGCGACGAUCCGUAAUGGUCUGAGUAGGAUGAUCAGUCAACACUGAACGUGAGACGACGGUCCCAGACCUUCCAACGGGAGCGAGGCACGGUUGGGGAAUAGUUA
rnacentral:rRNA from 1 species